AUUGAACGCUGGCGGUAUGCUUAACACAUGCAAGUCGAACGGAGGAUGUAGCGAUAUAUCCUCAGUGGCGAACGGGUGAGUAACGCGUUGGUGACCUGCCCCGAAGAGAGGGAUAACAGUUCGAAAGGACUGCUAAUACCGCAUGAGGUCGUUGAGGCUAGAGGCUCGAUGACGAAAGGAGAAAUCCGCUUUGGGAGGGGCCUGCGUCCCAUCAGCUAGUUGGUAAGGUAAAGGCUUACCAAGGCGAAGACGGGUAGGGGGCCUGAGAGGGUGACCCCCCACACUGGCACUGAAACACGGGCCAGACACCUACGGGUGGCU
rnacentral:rRNA from 1 species